rnacentral:rRNA from 1 species
UAGGGAAUCUUCGGCAAUGGGGGCAACCCUGACCGAGCAACGCCGCGUGAGUGAAGAAGGUUUUCGGAUCGUAAAGCUCUGUUGUAAGAGAAGAACGUGUGUGAGAGUGGAAAGUUCACACAGUGACGGUAACUUACCAGAAAGGGACGGCUAACUACGUGCCAGCAGCCGCGGUAAUACGUAGGUCCCGAGCGUUGUCCGGAUUUAUUGGGCGUAAAGCGAGCGCAGGCGUUUUAAUAAGUCUGAAGUUAAAGGCAGUGGCUUAACCAUUGUUCGCUUUGGAAACUGUUAAACUUGAGUGCAGAAGGGGAGAGUGCAAUUCCAUGUGUAGCGGUGAAAUGCGUAGAUAUAUGGAGGAACACCGGUGGCGAAAGCGACUCUCUGGUCUGUAACUGACGCUGAGGCUCGAAAGCGUGGGGAGCAAACAGG